GAUGAACGCUGGCGGCGUGCCUAAUACAUGCAAGUCGAGCGAACAGACGAGGAGCUUGCUCCUCUGACGUUAGCGGCGGACGGGUGAGUAACACGUGGAUAACCUACCUAUAAGACUGGGAUAACUUCGGGAAACCGGAGCUAAUACCGGAUAAUAUAUUGAACCGCAUGGUUCAAUAGUGAAAGACGGUUUUGCUGUCACUUAUAGAUGGAUCCGCGCCGCAUUAGCUAGUUGGUAAGGUAACGGCUUACCAAGGCGACGAUGCGUAGCCGACCUGAGAGGGUGAUCGGCCACACUGGAACUGAGACACGGUCCAGACUCCUACGGGAGGCAGCAGUAGGGAAUCUUCCGCAAUGGGCGAAAGCCUGACGGAGCAACGCCGCGUGAGUGAUGAAGGUCUUCGGAUCGUAAAACUCUGUUAUUAGGGAAGAACAAAUGUGUAAGUAACUAUGCACGUCUUGACGGUACCUAAUCAGAAAGCCACGGCUAACU
rnacentral:rRNA from 1 species